rnacentral:lncRNA from 1 species
GGAUGAGAGCAGGGCUGCCCGCCCUCCCAGAGCUACGUUUCAACGACAGGAGGUGAAAACACCCCCUCCCAAAACGUCAGAAUGGAGCUUUGCAAUGGGAAGGAAGACAAACCCACGCCCGCUCGCCAGCCAAAGGGGAUUGCUGAGCACCAGAGAAGCUGCGAUCGGCUCCGAGCAGGGAAAAAUACGGACAGGAGAGGAACACAUCCGGGCUGGAGGGGUCUCCUCCGGGGAAAGGGGCUGGCCCUGACCCUGCACCCUGAGGAUGACCUCCAUGGGGAACAGAGCAUGGCCUGGGACAAGGUUUCUCCUCUUUGUGAUGCAGAAAGGCCCCAGAAUAAUACUAGGAACAAGAAGCACAUGCUUAGUACAUCGCAAAUUCGGGUCUUCUCCUGCAGGCUGCUGUGGCCUGUGGAGAUGGGUGGGUUUGGCCAGGAGGAGGGGACUUUAAGAAUGUUAACCUGCUCUCUUCCCAUCGCUGGAGGUCUCCUGGGGGUGGCAUUGGGACUGGCACCCUGAGGUGCAUGCAGUGAGAUGCCGGUGGAGGCAGAGCACCAUUGGAGGCAAAGCACCUUUGGAGGCAAAGCACCUUCGGAGGCAAAGCACACUUAGAGGGAAAGCACCUUCGGAGGCCGCGGCAUUCCCUGGGGAGGACCCAGCCAGGGCCGGGCACAGAUUGGUCUCACUUCACAGCUUGGCCAUGGGGACACUGUGGCCAUGAGUUCUCCUACUGUAUCCUCCCUGGCUUUGCUUCUUGCAGCCCAGCACAACCUCAACGCCCCAUAAGGGAUCGUGCAACCCCGAGCACGCCUCAGCCCUGACAGCUUCUGCUUCGAGGUGCCUCCGGAAUCAAAAAAUAGUCAUAAUAGUGACAAGGGCUUUUAGGAAAAAUAGAGGGACGCCCCAAUUGAAGGAGGCUGUUAAGAGAGCUGGAAGAACUCCUCCUCCCAGUUAAACUGGCGUCACUGCUCCGCUCACUGUUCUCCAUCACCCACUGCAGGUCCCAAGCUGACGGCGCACAAAUGACGAAGCCAGCAGCCCUGCUCCCACCCCGCCCCCCACGGCAGCUCGUCUCCAUCCAUCACCCAGAAGCACAUCACCCGUGGCACCUUGACAACUCGUCCCCGUGUCCCCAGCCCUUGGGAUGUGGGAGCUUCGGUACCUGCAGGACCUGGGUCCGCUAUGAAAUAAAUAACAGUCUCAGAAUUUCAAGUAAUGUCCCUGCUGCCGCGCUCUGCCCAGCUUCUCCCUCUCCCACCACGUUGAUCUGCUCCUCUCGCGCUUGGCCGUGGUCUCUGCAGCAGCCAGCAGUGGUUUAACUGGGAUCCUGCCAUUGGGAUGCUCGGGGACGAAAGGUGCGUGUCUUUGGGGGACAGGUGGGGUGACGCCGGCUCCCUCUGGAAGCACGACCAGUGUCUGUGUUGGACCCAGGGAAAGGUUCCCGGGGCGAGAGGAAGGGCCCGGCUCGGUGGCCCUCUGGCACAGCUCUUGCCUUCCAGUUUUCCCAUGGGGUCACUGUGUUCCUAGUGCCCCUGGCAUGUUUUACAGCACAUCUGUCGGAAGUAGGUCCGGCUGCAGAACUUGAACUUCAGGACAAGCGGGCAGUAGGCCACCUUGUUCACAUCCUUGCA